AGACUAUGAGCUCCACGAAGAGAGGGUCUUUGUCCACCUUCCUCACUGAGGUGUCCCCAGCACCAAACACAAAGCCUGGUAUGGGCACCCGACUGGUUCAGAUGGUGGACCCAGACCUUCAGGACUGGACAGAACAAGGCAGGAGCUGAAUUUCUGCCAUAUAAGAAGAUUGGGACCCAGGAAGAACUCACUGAAAAGAGUUUUCUGACUGACGCUGGAGAUGAAGAUUCUGAAGCAUAGAGAUGUAGACCAUUUGCUCAAGCACCCCCACUCCUGGAGAUGUACUUAAAGAAUUGGACAAAUUAUUGAGUAGAUACUUGCAGUACUGGAUAAAAGAUUAUAUACAG